rnacentral:tRNA from 1 species
AACGAUGACAAAUAGGCGCUUAGGCGCAUUCGUAAUGCGAAGGUCGAGGGUUCGACUCCUUUCACCGGCACCA